UACGACUACAUAUCAGGCAUAUCAAUAAGCGGAGGAAAAGAAACUAACAAGGAUUCCCUUAGUAACGGCGAGUGAAGCGGGAAGAGCUCAAAUUUGAAAUCUUCAAGGUUCUACCUUGACGAAUUGUAGUUUAAAGAAGUGUUUUCUGUUAGAUGAGUAGCAAAAGUUCCUUGGAAUGGGACAUCAUAGAGGGUGAGAAUCCCGUAUUUGGUUAUUCAUUCUAGCUUUGUGAUACACUUUCAAAGAGUCGGAUUGUUUGGGAAUGCAGUCCAAAAUGGGUGGUAAAUUUCAUCUAAAGCUAAAUAUUGGCGAGAGACCGAUAGCGAACAAGUACCGUGAGGGAAAGAUGAAAAGAACUUUGAAAAGAGAGUUAAACAGUACGUGAAAUUGUCAAAAGGGAAGCGUUUGACACCAGUGUUGUUUUUCCGAAAAUCAAUUACGAAUGGCUUGAUUUUGUGUUGUAUUGACCUUAUCAGCUUUCUUCACUUUUUUCGAGUCUUUCUUAAUGCACUUUUCGGUUAACAAGUCAACAUCAAUUUCUUUUGUUGUAAAAGAGUAUUCGAAAGGUGGCUUUCUUUACGGAGAAAGUGUUUAUAGCCCUAUACUUCUACAAUCGGAGAGAUUGAGGUCUGCAGCGUAGAUCCUUCGGGGUUAGAUACACUUGUGCUAAGUUGUAGCUUUUCAUAGACAACUUGUUGACUAUGUUUAGUCAUGCGGCUUACUCGCUUGUGCUAUUUUACCUACGCUUAGGAUGUUGAGUAGCGACAUACGCAC
rnacentral:rRNA from 1 species